rnacentral:lncRNA from 1 species
CAUAGUCAGUGCUCAAUCACUGUUGGAUAAAUACAUGAUGAAACACACAGGAUGUGGGGCAGUGAUCCUGGGUGAGUGUGUCAAACUGAAAGACGCAAACUCUCCCUGGGGUAGGUUGUCUUGAGGUCUAGACUAGGAGGGAAAGUAUGAGGAGGCCUAAUUAUGGUCAUCCAUCUGAGCCAUGUUUUCAGAUCCAAUUUUGCCAGAUAUAAAGUGGAGACUCUUUCAUCAGCUUGACUUGUGUCUUUUUGUUAUUUGAUUCAAAACUAGAAGAGAGGACUGUGAUAUACCUUCAUUUCCACAUCCCACCUUUCAUCCUCUGCUUGAAAUUCUUAAUUCUAAUUUUUCUAAUACAUAAAGUUCAAAUAUGUUAGAAUAAGUAAUGAGACCUUUCAUAAUUUUGCUUAAUUAUUCUAUAGGAAGAGCAUUGGAAUCAGAGUGGAUAGCAGAGAUUCAAAUCUGGGAUAACCAAGUGAAUAGAAAGGAUCCAGAGCCAGUCCUGUGUAUUGCAAGGAAGAAGAUGCCUCUUUAUACUUUGGAUCAUGAAUCUGUCCCCAUUUUUAUUCUCUCAGUGAUUGCAUUACAUUCUUCACUUCCCAAUUAAAGAUUGAUUCAUAAGGUCAUAUUUGCAAGUAUACGUAACUCUGGGAAAUGUAAAUUGACAUAAAUUGUUUAUGUUUCGCCCAGUGUCUCAUUGAAAGGAUAGGAACAGAGGGUAAAAGAGAAAAUGGGAUACUUUCUGGAAGAAAUGCUACAAUGCCACAGUGAUGGUAUCAGAGUGGCUGAUAGCAGACACCAGGGAUAUGGGCAAGAGGGCAUCUCACUUCUGCUCAGGUGAAGGCCCUGGCUCUGGCCCAUGAGAAACCCCUCAUCAUCCAGGGGAAGAGGCAGAAGGAGACCCUUGCCAGGCUUUAUUAUGUACUGCCUUCCACCAGCCAGAGAACACAAAGGAUCCAGGGCUCCUGCAGGUGAUUGAAAAGAAGAACUGAUUUUUAAGCAUUUUACUUUAAAAUGUACAUUUCCUUCUGUUUACAUCUGCAUAUAUCUUUCCACUGAUGUGGCAGCUUAAAUGCUUUAUUUACUUUUUAAAGCUCUACAAUUGGCUUUUAAGUUGUGGUUACAGCUCCUGUCCUUUUCCAGAUGCGAUCCAAUUGUACACAAACACAUAAACAAUUAAAAUGGCGAGAUGAGGUGGGGAAAAGGGCAAUAAAAAUGGUCAGAGUCAAUUAAACCA